CCUUAUUCCAUUUAAUAAGAAAUGGUUACACUCACAUUCAGUCAUGCAGCAAAAGCAGUGACAAGACCCGACACAGACACUUUUUUCUCCACUUUAGCUAAGGAAGUGCAGCUAUAUAGCUAGCCUGAAAAAAAAAUAUUUUGCAUUUCUACUUGUGGAUUGGGACACAUCUGCUUUCUGAUGGGAUCUUCAGGAGCAUAGGGCUGCUGUGGUGGAGUGACCUUGGCCAGCUGCCAGGGGCUCAGCAAACCACCCUCUCACUCCCCCUCCUCCUUCUGCAAGUCAGCUGGGGGAAAUAAGAUUAGAAACUCACAGGUCAAGAGGGAGACCAAAGUCAACUACAAGUUCUUCUCAGAGACUCACCUCACCACAGAAUAACUGGA